CGGGUACUGCACGACUCGUUAGUGCCGUUAUGUCCCUGGGCCAAUAAUUCCCACUCGGGAGCUGUCCCUGCCGGCGGUGUGCCGCCGGUACACGGCGCCCACCUGCACAUGCAGGCCACAGUGGAACAGAGGGCCGACGGUCGCCGCGGUUCCGCC
rnacentral:other from 1 species